CUGAAGAGAGCAAGUCAACAUAUUUAAUCAUAAAAAUUUCAAAGAAAAUAAUUUAUUUAUGUUAAAAAAAACAACAACACAAAAACAAAGUGAUGAAGAGAACAUCCUCCAGCAAACACAUUGUGCCUGGCCAUGUUUUGAAGUAAUGGUGGGAGAGGUGAUCCAGUGAUACAAUUAUCCAUGCUCAAUGCUCUCUGGUCUCCAAACAACUCCACAAAGUGGAAACAUCGGAACACAGAAGAGCUACAUUCAACACUUAUUCUACUAGUGAAGUAGUUCUUUGGAACUAAUAAUUUACAAAAAGACAACCAUUUCCACCCCAUAACCUUAAAAAAAAAAGAAAGUCUUCAACAUUUGCUGUCUGUGACUAGAACAAACACCAAAAUACAUCUGCAAUAGACUUGAAGGUUUAUGUUUCGGGUACAGAGAGCAACAACUAAUAAGAUAAUUUUUAAAAAAACUACUUUUUUUUUUGAGUAAAAAGGUCAGGAAGCUACAAUUAUGUAACUAGUGUCAAUGGUAUCCAGCAAAAAAGUGUACAUUCAAUAACACAAUUUUCUAGGAAUCUAUGAGGAAAGAAAUGAACUCAGGAAGAAAUGACACAAGUCUCUAGCUCAUGUUGCAGUACAUUUAUGUGUUCCAAGUGUUCUAUCACUAAGCCAACAUGUGUAUUAAGGACAAUGAUUUAUUUAAAAUGACAAGCUGACACUACUUUCUAUUAACAAUAAAUAUUUCCCUUCUGUCUCUAGUCU